rnacentral:misc_RNA from 1 species
CGACUCUUCAGCCAAGGUACUGAACUCAAUAGGCUCAUUAACAGUUGCCUGCCAACUGGAUAAGUUUGACAUCUGGAGCGAUGUGGAAGUAAGAUUUAGAUUAAGUUGAUCAGCUAUAGGAAUGGGUGUGGCAACAUGAUCAUUCACUGCUUCAGCUGGCUUCAGAGAAGAAAUGGAGACAAGGCCAGCAUCCCGUUCUUCAGCGGAUGGUUCUGCAGUUGGUGAGUUACCGUCCUGUUCAUCAGCUAGACUAGAACCACUGCUCCAGCUAGGGCCUGAAUCCUGCACAGAAAGCUUAGAAGGAGCAGAUUCUUUGUUUCCAGCUGCCUGUCCAGCUUUAGCUUCACCAUAGGACUUCGGAGUAGAACUAGACCAAUCUUGGAUAUCUGAAGCACGAAGAGGAACACCUGAACUCAAAAAAAGCAGCUUUUCAGCAGCCUGAGCUUCAAUAUCAUCAUAGGUUGUUUUUGCGGCAGGACUUGGCCGAUCUGGAAGAUUCACGUUACCUUUCUGCUCAAAUGAAUCUUUUGAAUUGGUACCUGAAGCAAAACCACUGUCCAAGUUAAAUGAAAGUCUGCUACUGGUUGCGGAUCCCCAAUUCUGUCCAGAAGACUGCCCUACAUUACUCUGGCUGUUAGAUUGGGUAUUACGACUGUAAGUAUCAGUAUUCUGGCACAUUGUGCUUCCACAGGGAUCCUUAAUUACUUGACCUGUGGCAAUGCAAAGCUCAACAUUUUCAUGAACUCUUUCCUUACUUGGAAGAGCUACAUGCACCUCGCCAUGAUGAGAUGAAGGGACUGGGCUACACAGUUGCAGUUUGUCUGAAUAAGAAUUAUUUCCAUUCAUCAAGUCCAAAAAUUUUGGAAAAGGAGCUGACAUCCCAUCCAUCCUCACAUUCUCAGCAUUUCCAUUCGAAUCUUUACUUGCACGAUGGCAAGGCACCUCCAUUUCUCUGCAUUCUCUCCCUGUUCCAGCAGAAUUUCCACACCCGGUGCCAUUUCUGUCAUCAGAGGCAGGUCCAAGCCCAAUAGACUGGCUUGAGGUCUUCCCAUGAACUGCAGGGGCUUUACGGAACAGCCCAUUUAGUGCAUCGCUUAGAAGUACUGCAUCAUCAUACUCAUCAUUUGUCCAUAUCCUCAUAUCAAGUGGGAAAAUCCCCAAUGUACUCCAUUUCCUCAAUUGUGUCAUUGAAAAUGAUCCUUGCACCUUACCAUUAGGGUCACGGUAAUGCCACACUUCAUCUGUUUCACUGAUGUUGGUGGAUGCUGAGUUCGUUGUUGAGAGACUUGCAAUUAAAGUCUCAGAUCCAGACCCAUCCAGAGCCUGAUCAAUGAUGGCUCGAUAUCCUAGCUUCUCCGAGAUAUUAGUUGCAUGAGCCUCUGUUUUCUCAUUCAUUUUGCGCUGAGCCAUGAUAGAUCCUUCUCCUUUAACAUUUGCAACAUGAUGACCAUAUUUCAGUUCCCCUUGUAUCCUACCUGCUUGUCUCUCGGGAUUUUUAGCUUGAAUAAGUUCACUAAGUGUUAGCGAUAACUUUUCUUUCAAGUAUACCCAAUAUAACUUGAAGAGAUACUCCCAG